GACGGGGGGGGGCAAGUGUUCUUCGGAAUGACUGGGCGUAAAGGGCACGUAGGCGGUGAAUCGGGUUGAAAGUGAAAAGUCGCCAAAAAAGUGGCGGAAUGCUCUCGAAAACCAAUUCACUUUGAGUGAGACAGAGGAGAGUGGGAAAUUUUCGUGUGUAGGGGGUGAAAUCCGUUAGAUCUUACGAAAGGGAAACGCCCAAA
rnacentral:rRNA from 1 species